AAGUUUAUCUUCCCAUCUAUCUAAAUUCUGUUUUGGGAUGUAAAUAUAAUUUGAAUUUAUUAUUAUUUUUUUUCAUGUGUGGAAUGAUUUUGCUUGUUUGAUACACGAGUUGAUUUAAUUAUUAUUCAUAAUAUUUGCUUUAAUUUUGGGUUAUUGUAGUUCGAGUGGAUUUCCCUCCUUUUUUUUCAGUUGAUUUCUUAGAAUAAUAGGUGAGAAUUUAACAGGAAAGACCUUCAAAACGACAAACAACUAUACCUUAUCAUGCUAAUGAUAACUUCCCAAUUGAAUUUAGGGCUUAAUCUAGCUCCAUCCGAGUUCUUUUACUGCUUCAGGUAAAGCACAAGUAUGGUAGAGAUAAAUUAUAUACAAAUACGGAAAUACCCUAUGCUUGGCAACAAAGUUUAUUUGUUGUAAUGUUGAAAAUGAUAUUAGGAACUAGGAAAUGUUAGAAUAAUACGUACUCUGUUCAAUAGGAAAUUCUGGGCGAUUUGAAACUUUCACUCCACUGGUUUCAUGGUUGCUUCAAUAGAUUUUCUUUUUCUUGUCUUGACAAAUAAUGAAAAAUUGAACAGUGAAUGACAGAAUAAAUUUCAAGAGUUGUACCUGAAUUUUAAGUGUUGUAAUAAAGAUGUCCCUAAUAUAAACCCUGAAUUUUAAAAUUUUCAUUGUAAAAUUUUUUUAAUUCCCAAUAGCCGGGUUGUAAAUAACACGAUAAUGUGGACAAUUGGCGAUAAUCAGUUGUUAUAUAUCUAACGCUUCAUUAUCCCAUAUGGCUGAGAUUAUUUCAUGGUUCAUUGUGAAGAAAAUCAUAGCCGAUUUUGACACUAUCACAUAGAGGAGAGAGAAUUGUCCAUGUCCUGCCACUAUGAAUUGUAUAAACAGACUAUAGGGAGUCAAAAUGAUUUUUUGUGCAAUAUUUUACAAUUUUAAAUUCAAUGAUCGCUCUGAUACAACUCCUAAAAUUAAGGGACAACUAUUGAAAUUUGUUCAUCAAUUACAGCAUGAAGACAGUAUUGAUGAUUGGGUUCUUUGCUUUUCCUACAUGAGUGCUUGUUAAAUAGUUUUCACUCCCUAAUGUUUUCACAUGCUUAAUCAUGCCAAAUAGUUUCUUUGCAACUUCAUUUUGUCUGGUAUAAAGUUGAGUGCAAAUUCUGAACUUAAGAAGUUUUCUCAACACAAUUGUUGAAAAGUUGAACUAUUGAAAUCUGAUUGCAGCCAAUUUCAGAUUGAAUCUUUGACAUAUAAGUUUUCAAUCUGUCCCUUUUAUUAAGGUAAU
rnacentral:misc_RNA from 1 species